AGCGAACGCUGGCGGCAGGCCUAACACAUGCAAGUCGAACGAAGUCUUCGGACUUAGUGGCGGACGGGUGAGUAACACGUGGGAACGUGCCUUUAGGUUCGGAAUAACUCAGGGAAACUUGUGCUAAUACCGAAUGUGCCCUUCGGGGGAAAGAUUUAUCGCCUUUAGAGCGGCCCGCGUCUGAUUAGCUAGUUGGUGAGGUAGAGGCUCACCAAGGCGACGAUCAGUAGCUGGUCUGAGAGGAUGAUCAGCCACAUUGGGACUGAGACACGGCCCAAACUCCUACGGGAGGCAGCAGUGGGGAAUCUUGCGCAAUGGGCGAAAGCCUGACGCAGCCAUGCCGCGUGAAUGAUGAAGGUCUUAGGAUUGUAAAAUUCUUUCACCGGGGACGAUAAUGACGGUACCCGGAGAAGAAGCCCCGGCUAACUUCGUGCCAGCCGCCGCUGUAAAAC
rnacentral:rRNA from 1 species